UACGUAGGGGCUAGCGUUGUCCGGAAUCAUUGGGCGUAAAGCGCGUGUAGGCGGCCCGAUAAGUCCGCUGUGAAAGUCCAGGGCUCAACCCUGGGAUGCCGGUGGAUACUGUCGGGCUCGAGUCCGGAAGAGGCGAGUGGAAUUCCGUGGAUGUAGCGGUGAAUGACGCAGAUAUCAGGAGGAACACCAAUGGCGAAGGCAGCUCGCUGGGACGUGACUGACGCUGAGACGCGAAGCGUGGGGAGCAAACAG
rnacentral:rRNA from 1 species